rnacentral:rRNA from 1 species
ACGCUCGACACCUACGGGUGGCAGCAGUGGGGAAUAUUGCACAAUGGGGGAAACCCUGAUGCAGCAACGCCGCGUGAAGGAAGACGGUUUUCGGAUUGUAAACUUCUGUUCUUAGUGAAGAUAGUGACGGUAGCUAAGGAGCAAGCCACGGCUAACUACGUGCCAGCAGCCGCGGUAAUCUGAGGCGGGCUGGCAAGGC